AAUUCACAGGAAAAGCUAAUCAGUAUAAUUUUAUUUAUUAUUUAUUUAUUUAUUCUUGAGACAGAGUCUGGCUAGAGUGCAGGGGCCCGAUCUCAGGUUCAAGAAAGUCUCAUGUCUCAGCCUCCCAAAUAACCGCGAUUACAGGUGUGUGCCACCACGCUCAGUUAAUUUUUUUCUUUUGUAUUUUUAGCAGGGAUGGGGUUUCACCAUGUUAGCCAGGCUGGUUUCGAA
rnacentral:lncRNA from 10 species